AAAUAUUUAGUUUUUAUGUUUCUUCUGUGUGCAGUUGUGUUCAUUUGUUUCGAUUUCUCCAUGAGAUUGUCUCACGUGAGUCUCAACUGCCGCGACCUUGUUACUAUUGAUUAUCCAUUAUGAAUUGCCGUUUACACCAAGUGUAAUAAAAUCAGAAUCAUUCUCGCCGAAAUUUUGGUGCUUCCCUAAUUCGAUGUUUUAAUAAAA